AGGGUGUGUCCUUUUAAGAGAGAAUGUUUCAUUGUUGGAGAUGUGUCAUGAAUGUCAAUGGAGGUGGGCUUGGAGUCUCUCUCUCUCUCUCCUCUCUCUCUCCUCUCUCUCUCUCUCUCUCUCUCUCUCUCUCUCUCUCUCUCUCUCUCUCUCUCUCUCUCUCUCUCCUCUGCUCUACCUCCUACAUGCAAAUCCUGAUGUAAAGGUCUCAUCUAACACUCCAAUGUCAUGUCUAUCUGCUUCCCUCAAUGACUAUGGGCUAACUCUGAAACUCCCACCAACCAAAAUAUCAUCAGCAAAAUAUCUUCCAACGUGUCUGCUUCGCAAAAUGUCUUAAGAGUUUCCAGAAAAACAUCACAACUGGGUCUUUAAGGAGACCAGAAAUUUCCACUUCAAGUUGGUACCACUUCUUAUCAGCAUCAGAACUUGGGAGAGCAGGAUGCUGCAGGAGCAUGCUAACUGCCAGAGUGAUUGGUGGGACGUGCUGUUGCUGGUACAAAGAAUGAUGCUAACCCGUGAACUUGCUGAGUGUCCUGACAAUGUGACAGGAAAGCUGUAUUGGACAUUGGUUGCCUUCACACGGGAUCACUUUCAACAAGCUCAGCUAUUCACCAUGACAGUUAUCUAGCAACUUGAAGAAAUGCAUUGAGUGCAUAUUCAUAUGUCCUUCAUGGCUUUGGUCUGAAUGGAAAAGAGUGUGCUAUAGAAGGCUGGUAGUCAGAGAUGGCCCCCCUUUCAGGUAGACCCAGUUCAUCCAUGGCUUUGGACGGCAACACUCUGAGUGAAGAGAUUUGAUGGAGACAAUCCAUUUAAAGAUUCUGAAACUCAAAACAGCUCUAAUCCCCCUCUCACCAAAGCUGGGACAUAAGAUAAAUCUUAAAAUCUUCAGCAAUAAUCUGUACGACAGCCUAAUCCCAGCAUGUACGGGUGUCACGUGAUGCAAUACUCCUUUCUGAGGAGGAAAAGCAGA
rnacentral:lncRNA from 1 species